rnacentral:rRNA from 1 species
GACGAACGCUGGCGGCGUGCCUAAUACAUGCAAGUUGAGCGAUUAAGAUUGGUGCUUGCCCCAAUUUGAAGAGCAGCGAACGGGUGAGUAACGCGUGGGGAAUCUGCCUUUGAGCGGGGGACAACAUUUGGAAACGAAUGCUAAUACCGCAUAACAACUUUAAACAUAAGUUUUAAGUUUGAAAGAUGCAAUUGCAUCACUCAAAGAUGAUCCCGCGUUGUAUUAGCUAGUUGGUGAGGUAAAGGCUCACCAAGGCGAUGAUACAUAGCCGACCUGAGAGGGUGAUCGGCCACAUUGGGACUGAGACACGGCCCAAACUCCUACGGGAGGCAGCAGUAGGGAAUCUUCGGCAAUGGACGAAAGUCUGACCGAGCAACGCCGCGUGAGUGAAGAAGGUUUUCGGAUCGUAAAACUCUGUUGGUAGAGAAGAACGUUGGUGAGAGUGGAAAGCUCAUCAAGUGACGGUAACUACCCAGAAAGGGACGGCUAACUACGUG